GUCGAACGGAGCCUUAACCAAAGAAGCAGCCAGCUUGCUGGAAGCGGAAAAGGGAAAGGCUUAGUGGCGGACGGGUGAGUAACGCGUGGGUAACCUGGCCCAUACAGGGGGAUAACACUUAGAAAUAGGUGCUAAUACCGCAUAACAACAGAAAGCGCAUGCUUUUUGUUUGAAAACCAAGGUGGUAUGGGAUGGACCCGCGUCUGAUUAGCUGGUUGGCGGGGUAAAGGCCCACCAAGGCGACGAUCAGUAGCCGGCCUGAGAGGGUGGACGGCCACAUUGGGACUGAGACACGGCCCAAACUCCUACGGGAGGCAGCAGUGGGGAAUAUUGCACAAUGGGGGAAACCCUGAUGCAGCGACGCCGCGUGAGUGAAGAAGUAAUUCGUUAUGUAAAGCUCUAUCAGCAGGGAAGAAAAUGACGGUACCUGAGUAAGAAGCCCCGGCUAACUACGUGCCAGCAGCCGCGGUAAUACGUAGGGGGCAAGCGUUAUCCGGAUUUACUGGGUGUAAAGGGAGCGUAGACGGCAGUGCAAGUCUGGAGUGAAAGGCGGGGGCUCAACCCCCGGACUGCUCUGGAAACUGUACGGCUGGAGUGCAGGAGAGGUAAGUGGAAUUCCUAGUGUAGCGGUGAAAUGCGUAGAUAUUAGGAGGAACACCAGUGGCGAAGGCGGCUUACUGGACUGUAACUGACGUUGAGGCUCGAAAGCGUGGGGAGCAAACAGGAUUAGAUACCCUGGUAGUCCACGCCGUAAACGAUGAUCACUAGGUGUCGGGGGUUAAAGAACCUUCGGUGCCGCAGCCAACGCAGUAAGUGAU
rnacentral:rRNA from 1 species